UACGAAGGGGACUAGCGUUGUUCGGAAUUACUGGGCGUAAAGCGCACGUAGGCGGGGCGGUCAGUCAGAGGUGAAAUCCCGGAGCUCAACUUCGGAACUGCCUUUGAUACAGCCGCUCUCGAGUCCGAUAGAGGUGAGUGGAAUUCCUAGUGUAGAGGUGAAAUUCGUAGAUAUUAGGAAGAACACCAGUGGCGAAGGCGGCUCACUGGAUCGGUACUGACGCUGAGGUGCGAAAGCGUGGGGAGCAAACAGG
rnacentral:rRNA from 1 species